rnacentral:sRNA from 1 species
CUCCUCGUUCCUGUUAUCUUUCAACAUUUGCCGUAAGAUUUUCUGUGCUAGACGAAGCCAGGAUAGCAAUACAGUGAGAUCUGCUGCAAAGUGGCAGGCUUGCUAUUCGUAUGAAGUCUCUUGGGGGUGUUUGAACGGGUUUAUUCAAGUGCACGAACAAGGCAAGGCUGUGUUCCCUGCGCUCUUUCCACACCAAACGAAACUAAAAUAUUAACGUAGAAAUACUACCGUUGUUAUCUUUACUCUCAAUGUUUUUAGGUAUAUGCAUGGUGAGCUCCUCCUGAAUUCAACUAACCCCUCCAACUGUGAAGGUAGCCUCACGUUUUCUUUUAGUUUCAUUUGUGAUUAUAUUCUUCUCACCACCAUAUUUCAUGAUUUGUGUAGCUGUUUCGAUACCCAUAUGUAAAGCAAAUGCCAAAAUUAGUAUUCUUUCAUAAGCUUUCUAUUCUGGGUUUGAAUAUAUAUAUGCAGGAUAUAACCAUCAGAAUCCAAAACCCCACCACUCUCACAAGGAUAAAAAAAAACGCCAUAUCGCUUCUGAAGGAAAACAAUUAAAAACUAAAUAAUUAAUCAGACAGCCUCGUGGUUUGUGCAUGAUCGAGAAGCCAAGAGAGAAAGAGCGGUGGAGAUCAGUAGCUGAAAAGCAUCGCAAGUAUUUAUGCAUGCAGAGUUGCUUCCACCCAAAUAAGUCUAUAUCUAAGUAUGCAUAGAGUCACCACCCUUCCUUCUAUUAAUUAUCCUGUCUUUCCAUGGGGUCAUAGAUUCUUGCCCGUACUGCGUUAGGUAAUGAAAUUGCCAAUUUCAAGACAGCUGAACGGACAUGCCACAUUAUAUUGAUGAUAACAUCAUGAUGAGAGAACAGCGUUUUCGUAUAUAUAGUCAGUAAAAG